rnacentral:rRNA from 1 species
CCUACGGGAGGCAGCAGUGAGGAAUAUUGGUCAAUGGCCGAGAGGCUGAACCAGCCAAGUCGCGUGAGGGAAGACGGCCCUACGGGUUGUAAACCUCUUUUGUCGGGGAGCAAAGAGAGUCACGUGUGACUCAUUGAGAGUACCCGAAGAAAAAGCAUCGGCUAACUCCGUGCCAGCAGGCGCGGUAAUACGGGGGAUGGGAGCGUUAUCGGGAUUUAUUGGGUUGAACGGGAGCGCAGCGGGAGGUGCAAGUCAGCGGUAAAAUUGCGGGGCGCAACCCCGUACUGCCGUUGAAACUGCAUCCCUUGAGUGCGCGAGAAGUAUGCGGAAUGCGUGGUGUAGCGGUGAAAUGCAUAGAUAUCACGAAGAACUCCGAUUGCGAAGGCGGCAUACCGGCGCGCAACUGACGCUCAUGCACGAAAGCGUGGGUAUCGAACAGGAUUAGAUACCCCAGUAGUC